rnacentral:lncRNA from 1 species
CCCAAUCAGAGUCAGUAAGAUAUUGCUGAGACUUCUGGGAGAGAGACAGGUUCUUCAUUUCUGGAUUUAAACCUUAAGGACAAAGUGUGAGUCUGUUGCCACUAUUAUGUUACCACAUAGAACCUGAUACUGCAGCCGAUAUAGUAAUGAUGAGAACUGAGUCUUGAGACUAUUUGAAUCCUCAGAACCAGUUGCACCUGAAACUAUCUAUGCUCUUGGAUUUUCAGUUAAAUGAGCCAAAAACUCCUUUUCCUCCCUGCUUAAGCAAGUCUUCAUUAGGUAUUCUUUUAUUUCAAAAUAAAAAAUCAUGAACGCCCACCAUAUACCCUGAUUUUGGUUUGAAAAAUAUAGUCAGCAAAGGCAAAAGUAUAAACUGAAUGAUGUAAUAAAGAACCUCUAUUUUUACAUUUCUUAAAGUAGCUAACACACCCUGGGCACAAUCCAGCUUUCCAAGAUGGUAUGUAUGUGUUUGAUUGAAUAAAUAAAUACAGAUGGAAAGUUAAGAAUAAUUCAUGCCAAGUGUUAGGGAAUCCCUGAGUUUCAAAGCAAUACUCAUUGGAAUUGGAAACUCUAGGGUGGAUAUGAAACUGUUGAUCAAUGUUGAAUGAGCAGAGCUCACUAAAUACUGAGCCACAGAAUAAAACACCUGUGAGCAAGAUAGCUCUCACUGACCAGGCUCUUGGCAAGACCACCUAUCUUCCUGAAACAGGGAAUAGACAAAGCCUGAGGGAAAGCCCUUUCUUCCCAGCCCCAACUGCAAAUGUACUCCAGGAGGACUGAACAACCAGAUUCAGGGCCUCAGAGGGCUCCCACCACAAAGAGGUCUAAAGAUGUAGGCUGAGAGGGCAGUGCAAAUUCAGAAAAGAACACCCACAGAGAGCCCAAGGUCCAUCACAGCCUCUUCCUGACACUAGUAAGUUAAGCAUGCCCACAACUCUGAAAAUCUUUUUAGACAAGGAAGGCUCAGAACUCCAAGAUAAAGGGUCCUCACAAGACCUGGAAAUAAAAUAUGAACCAAAACAUAAGCAAGAAUGGCUUUAGAAAAGUGCAAAUGGUGAAAAAUUUUGUUCUCAUCCAUUGCAGUCUAUGAUUCCAAUCAGCACCUUCCUCCAGAGGGCCAGGUCUUCCAUCACUUCAGUCAUAAAGGAAAUGGGUUGGAGACUCCUUCCUUGUACAAAGAAUUUGGGAAUUAGUGUGAGAAAAGGGACACAAAGAAUAGAAAUCCAAAGAAAAAGAGGGAUGCUCAGAACAAGGCCAGAUUUUAACUCAGACUCACAACUUUCAGCUCAAGUGGUGAAAUUUACCAGACAUUGACAAGGCAACUCUGAAAUCUCCCUCUCUGAACAAAGAAUGGAAUUCCAUUGCUGUAGUUGUAUUCUUUUAGCUUCUAACUUACAUCAUGAAAAUACAGAUCUCUUUGGAGAGAAAGUAUCUUAGACUAUUGUCAGUCAUUUGCUCCUCUGUAUAAAAGCUUUGUCACUAGAGAAGGGUAUGAUAGCUAGACACAUAAAUACAUAAAGAGGGCAAGGAAAUGGAAUGUGACUGAAAGGAAAAUGUAUUUGGGCAAGUGACACACUAGACAGAAGAAUACAGACUUUAGGUUUAGAAAGACCUGGAUUCAAGUCUGACCCCACCACCUAUUAACUCUUAUCUUGGGCUAAGUACAUCACUUCUUUGAAACUCAACUACUUUCUCUGUGAAGAGUGAAUAUUAAUAACAAUCUCCAUGACUCUGAUUAUAUUAUCCUGUCUGUCUUGUAUACCACAUAUACCUUGUCAUUUGCUUGGCUAACUCCUAUUCAGGCCAUAGGCCACCUCAUUUCACCUCCUCAGGAAGACUGAAAUGGGGAGGUGUUCCUUGUCUGAGUCCCACAGCAUCUACCUACAUAGAGCAGAAUUCGCAUCAAUUGUAACUCUUAUUUUUCUGUACUAUGAAUUUACACUCUGAUUGUCUCCAAUAAAGCAAGAGGACU